rnacentral:rRNA from 1 species
UACGUAGGGUGCAAGCGUUAAUCGGAAUUACUGGGCGUAAAGCGUGCGCAGGCGGUUUUGUAAGUCUGUCGUGAAAGCCCCGGGCUCAACCUGGGAAUGGCAUUGGAAACUGGCUGGCUAGAGUGUGGCAGAGGGGGGUGGAAUUCCGGCGUGUAGCAGUGAAAUGCGUAGAGAUGCGGAGGAACACCGAUGGCGAAGGCAGCCCCCUGGGCUGACACUGACGCUCAGGCACGAAAGCGUGGGGAGCAAACAGGG